UGACAUUACCUUUAGAAGAAGCACCGGCUAACUCCGUGCCAGCAGCCGCGGUAAUACGGAGGGUGCAAGCGUUAAUCGGAAUUACUGGGCGUAAAGCGUGCGUAGGCGGUUAUUUAAGUCAGAUGUGAAAGCCCCGGGCUUAACCUGGGAACUGCAUUUGAUACUGGGUAACUAGAGUUUAAUAGAGGAGAGUGGAAUUUCAGGUGUAGGGGUGAAAUGCGUAGAGAUCUGAAGGAACACCAGUGGCGAAGGCGACUCUCUGGAUUAAAACUGACGCUGAGGUACGAAAGCGUGGGUAGCAAACAGGAUUAGAUACCCUGGUAGUCCACGCCGUAAACGAUGUCAACUAGCCGUUGGGCCAUUAUACAGGUUUAGUGGCGCAGCUAACGCAUUAAGUUGACCGCCUGGGGAGUACGGCCGCAAGGUUAAAACUCAAAUGAAUUGACGG
rnacentral:rRNA from 1 species